GCGCCCGUAGCUCAGCGGAUAGAGCAAGUGACUUCUAAUCACUGGGUCGGGGGUUCAAGUCCUCCCGGGCGCGCCA
rnacentral:tRNA from 1 species